GCUUGAUAUUGUAUGACAGACAGGGUAGGAGACAAUGUGUGACAGGUGUGUGGCAGAAAAUGUAACUAGAAAACAGUAUCUUAGAAACAAUGUAAAUGGCAGACAGCACAUGACAGAAAUGUGAUGUGCUCUGUGCAAGGGGGUCUAUCAGAGACAUGGUGUAGAACGGAGCUGAGGCCGAGUGGGCAAUCCAUGCGGAGAAUUGUACUACAAAGACUAGACAUGCAUAUGAAAGACAACGUCUGUGACGGAGGCAGGUAGGUGAGAGUAGGACGGGAGGGCAGAGACUUCUAUGAGGACUGGGAGAGAGCCACGAGUGACAAGAGGCAGUAUAGGACAGACGUGGGGGGUGGGGAGGGACAGUGUAUACAUAGAUCCGUAAGUGACAGAGACAGUAUGUCCAGCCUGGGGACAGUGAAUAAAUAGAAUAAGAGACAGGAUAUGAAGACUGCAGGAGAGUAUAUAGAUACAGGUGACAGAGACAGUACAGAACAGACGGCGGGGCAGUGUAUAGAUCCAUAAGUGACUGAGGCUGGGGACAGUGUGAAAGACAAUGUAUGGAAAAAUAUUCUAGAUAAAAAACAAACAAACGAAUGAAUAAAUAAAUAAAAGACAAUGUGACAGACGGCGUAUGACAGACUGGGGAACAGCGUAUGAAAGACGUGGGUAACAACGCGACGGAGAAAGUUGAGGCGGCUGAGAAGGAAGCCGCGGACCUUUACCUCGCGUCUCUCCAGGUUUGAGCGCGCACCCGAGCCCGAAGCUGUGGACGCGCCCUUGUCGUCGCUGUCUGAGGCCUCUGAGUCCGAAGCUGUGUCAGAAGAGGCAGGGGCUCCGGGGCAGGCCCGGACUGGUGGCUUCACUAUUACCACUCGCCGCUGCUCUUCCUGCUCCUGUUCCUCCUGCUCCUGUGUGCCCUCGAUGUGCUGAAUUGCCUAAGAGGAGGAAGAUGGUUGGACAGCAAAUAUGGAAAGAAUUAUGAAGGCUCAGGCACUAAGAGACAACUCAACAAUGGGUUACAUGGCAGCAAAGAAACACUUGGAGAUAAACCCUGACCAUUCCAUUAUUGAAACUCUAAGGCCAAAGGCAGAGGCUGACAAGAAUGAUAAAUCAGUGAAGGAUCUGGUCAUCUUGUAUGAGAAUGCACUGCUGUCUUCUGGGUUCAGCUUGGAAGAUCCCCAGACACAUGCCAAUCGGAUCUACAGGAUGAUCAAACUUGGUCUUGGAAUUGAUGAAGAUGAUUCAACAACUGAAGAAACCAAUGCAGCUAUAACUGAGGAAAUGCCACCCCUUGAAGAUGAUGACACAUCGCGUAUGGAAGAAGUAGACUAAAGCAUUCCAAUUCAAGGAGCAAAAGCAUGUUUCCUAGACUAGUCUGAAUAAGUUAUUUUGUAUAAGGUGUUGAGAGAAAAUACUUGAUGUCUUCAUUCCCUCUGAUGUAUAUUUUCAGAUAUGUUCUCUUUAUUUUUGUUAAAUCACUUUUUAAAAAAAUGUAUGGCAUGAACAUGCGUUUAAGGGGAAGUUUAGGUUUCUUUUAAUCUUUUUUUUUAAUUUU